AGGGCGUCCAUGCAGUCCAUGUGGAAGCCAGCCUCAGCAGGAGAGCCGCGCAUUGCCAAAGGCAGGGAGAAUAACAAACCAGGUGCCAUCCAGAGUCUACAGGAAAGCUUCAGUCUUUCCAAGGAAAAUUAAAAAACGAAUAACCAGAUUACACAUUCUGAGUUUUGCUCCCUGUGGACUUCUGUUGAAUCCUGGAUGAGGAGGAUAAACCUCGGGUUCCAGCAGAUUCUGCAGGUGCUCUCGCGCUGAGUUCCAGCUCUAGAUUACUGUCCUAG
rnacentral:lncRNA from 1 species